UUCUCUAAUGACAGGAUCCCAGAAA
rnacentral:piRNA from 1 species